UUGGUUUGUGAAACCCAUAUUCCUGGGAAGACAGUUUCAGGUACAUUUAGCUACCUGAUGGGCCGUUUAAACAUUUAUAGAAGUAUCUCAUUGAAUUGUGAUUUUCAAUGCAUAUUUUCUGGUCGUAUAAAAGUUUUCCCAUGGGGCUGAUGUUAUGACAGUAGAUCAUUAUGCCACGGUGUAUUUUCCCCAGGUAAAGAAAGCUUUUGAUGAUUCACUGACUGAGGACUCACAAUCCAGAACCUGAAGAUUGGAUCUUCUGAGAACAUAUGAGAAAGACUGCCCUUGCCAUCCACACUGCAGCAAGACUUUAAGACCUUGAACCUUGGGUUCAUAAUCUUACAAUCCCUGAGAAGGCUCUCUCCACACUCUUGAAACUUCAAAAUUUCCUUAAGGCCUCUGAGCCCAAGCUAAGCAAUCAUAUCCCCUGUGACCUGCAUGAAUACAUCCAGAUGGCCUGAAGCAACUGAAGAAUCACAAAAGAAGUGAAAAAACCACCAAACAGAGAUGAAGUCUUGUCCAGGCUAAAAUGCAGCAGCUAUUCACAGGCACAACAAUGGCGAACUACAGCCUUGAACUCCUGUCUCAGCCUCCAAAGUAGCUGGGACUACAGGUAUGUGACACCACCCCUGGCCCAUGCAUAUGGUUUUUGCUUGUUGUUUGCUCUCUUUGUUUUGUAUAUGCUAGUUUUCAAUUCACUUCGGUAAAUACUCACAAAUGGUAUUACUGGGUCUUAUGUUAAGUGUAUACAGUGUAUUUUUAACUCUGUAAGAAACUGCUAAACUAUCUUUCAAGGUGUUUAUACUCUUGCACUUCCAAUAGCAACGAAUAAGAAUUCUUCUAAAAGCUUUAUAGUGUUAUGUUUACAUUUAAAUGUCUGAAUCAUUUUUGUGUGAACUUUUGUAUAAAGUGUUAGGUUUAAGUUGUUUUGUUUCUUUUUUUUUUUUUUUUUGGAUAUGAAGGACCAAUUGUUCUGAUACCGUUUGUUGAAAAGAUUAUCCUCUUUGCAGUAAAUUGCUUUCAAACCUUUUUAAAAGAUCAAAUAUCCAUAUUUGCAUAGGUCUAUAUUUGGACUUUCUAUUAUUCUAUUCAUCUAUGUGUGUCUACAUUGACACAAAUUCCAUACUACCUUGACUAUUGUAGCUUGAUAAUAAAUCUUAAAAUUAAGUAGAAUGAUUUCUCUAACUUUGAUCUUCUGUUUCAAAAUUGUUUUAGCUAUUCUAGUUCCUUAGCCCUACUGUACACAUUUUAGAAUAAUCCAAAUUAUUCUAGAAAAAUUCAAAAAUUCUAGUUGGUAUUUUGAUUGUUGUUAUGUUAAAUCUAGAGAUCACUUUGGAAAAAACUGAUGUUUUUAAUAGAUUGAGUCUCCAAUCAUGAACAUGAUAUAUCUCUUCAUUUAUUUAGUUCUUUAAUUCUGUCAUCAGAGUUCUACAGUUUGUAGCUUACAAGUUUUAGUCCUGUACUUGUUUUGUUAGACCUAUACCUAAGUAUUUCAUUUUUGGAGGAAUGAUUGCAAAUGGUUUUUGAGGUUUACAAAAUUUUGAUUUCCAUUUGUUUAUUGCUUAUAUAGAGAAAGACAACUUUUUGUGUGUAUUGUACUUGUAUCGUGCAGCUCCGAUAAGCUCACUUAUUACCUUUAGAAGAUUUUUUUUUUUUUGGUAGAUUCUUUGG
rnacentral:lncRNA from 1 species